UUGUAAUCUGUGAAGGUAUAUAAACAAUUUCCUGAGGCAUGAAGAAUCAGUUCUACCGAGUAAUCAACUCUGUUCAGUACGAGAUAAAAUAAACAAAAUGCCACCCACACCUGGCCAAACUUCUGGAAAGCCGCCAACUGUAGCUGGUGUUGCUGGACUCGCUGCUGGUAGUGCUGUGGCCGGAGUUAUUGGAUCUCUUGUCGGGUGGGCUUCGGGCCAGGGUGGAAAAAAUAAGUAGUUAUUUACUGUUCUUGCAGCAUUAUGAUGAUUGUAUGAAAUAAAAAAUAGGAAUAAA